AGAGCAGGCCGGGCGGUCGCUCGGGGCGGCUUCGGCCGCGCCGGGAGGAAAGUCCGAACUGGACAGGGCGCGGUGGCGGCUAACGGCCGCCGGCGGCAACGCCAGGGAAAGUGCCACAGAAAAGACACCGCCGAUGGAUGCCGCCCACGUGACGUCAUCACAGGCAAGGGUGAAAUGGUGCGGUAAGAGCGCACCGCGCGGCCGGCAACGGUCGCGGCAGGGUAAACCCCACCGCCAGCAAGCCCACGUAUGCGGCAAUGCGAUUCUCGCGGCGCUUCGGCGCCGCCGGGUUUCGCGCGAAGCGGCCCGUUUCGCUCGAGCCGCGGGUAGGGUGCUAGAGCCGGCGGGCAACCGUCGGCCCAGAGAAAUGACCGUCGCCCGCGUGUGGCACCGGCGUCUCGCCGGUGUGACGAACGGGGACAGAAUUCGGCUUACAGGCCUGCUCUGCUU
rnacentral:RNase_P_RNA from 1 species